rnacentral:rRNA from 1 species
UAGCCUUGACAUAUUUUAGAAUCUUUCAGAGAUGAGAGAGUGCCUUCGGGAGCUAAUAUACAGGUGCUGCACGGCUGUCGUCAGCUCGUGUCGUGAGAUGUUGGGUUAAGUCCCGCAACGAGCGCAACCCUCGUCACUAGUUACUAACGGUUCGGCCGAGGACUCUAGUGAGACUGCCUUCGUAAGGAGGAGGAAGGUGAGGACGACGUCAAGUCAUCAUGGCCCUUACGGCUAGGGCAACACACGUGCUACAAUGGCCAGGACAGUGAGACGCGAUACCGCGAGGUGGAGCAAAUCUAUAAACCUGGUCUCAGUUCGGAUUGUAGUCUGCAACUCGACUACAUGAAGCUGGAAUCACUAGUAAUCGUAGAUCAGCUAUGCUACGGUGAAUACGUUCCCGGGUCU